CCCUAGUCUCAGUUCGGAUUGGAGUCUGCAACCCGACUCCAUGAAGCUGGAUUCGCUAGUAAUCGCGCAUCAGCCACGGCGCGGUGAAUACGUUCCCGGGCCUUGUACACACCGCCCGUCAAGCCAUGGAAGCCGGGAGUGCCUGAAGUGCGUGAGCGCAAGCAGCGCCCUAAGGUAAAACCGGUGACUGGGGCUAAGUCGUAACAAGGUAAC
rnacentral:rRNA from 1 species